GUUCUACAAAGCAGCUCUCCCCAUUUUGCUCCGUGGCAACAGGCACGACUGCAACAUAGGCAGGAAUAGGCAGCACCUGCAGGUCCCAAACCCUUAACCGGUUUUUAGGUAACACCAAUUUUUUUAAUGUAGUGGCUUUCCCUUAACCCAUAAC